rnacentral:rRNA from 1 species
GAUGAACGCUGGCGGCGUGCCUAAUACAUGCAAGUCGAGCGAACAGACGAGGAGCUUGCUCCUCUGACGUUAGCGGCGGACGGGUGAGUAACACGUGGAUAACCUACCUAUAAGACUGGGAUAACUUCGGGAAACCGGAGCUAAUACCGGAUAAUAUUUUGAACCGCAUGGUUCAAAAGUGAAAGACGGUCUUGCUGUCACUUAUAGAUGGAUCCGCGCCGCAUUAGCUAGUUGGUAAGGUAACGGCUUACCAAGGCAACGAUGCAUAGCCGACCUGAGAGGGUGAUCGGCCACACUGGAACUGAGACACGGUCCAGACUCCUACGGGAGGCAGCAGUAGGGAAUCUUCCGCAAUGGGCGAAAGCCUGACGGAGCAACGCCGCGUGAGUGAUGAAGGUCUUCGGAUCGUAAAACUCUGUUAUUAGGGAAGAACAAAUGUGUAAGUAACUAUGCACAUCUUGACGGUACCUAAUCAGAAAGCCACGGCUAACUACGUG